CACGUAGGGGGCGAGCGUUGUCCGGAUUUAUUGGGCGUAAAGAGCUCGUAGGCGGCUCAGUAAGUCGGGUGUGAAAACUCCAGGCUCAACCUGGAGACGCCACCCGAUACUGCUGUGGCUAGAGUCCGGUAGGGGAGCAUGGAAUUCCUGGUGUAGCGGUGAAAUGCGCAGAUAUCAGGAGGAACACCAAUGGCGAAGGCAGCUCGCUGGGACGGUACUGACGCUGAGGCGCGAAAGCGUGGGGAGCAAACAGG
rnacentral:rRNA from 1 species